CUUCAAUACAUCCCUGUUUACCAAAUAGUGUAAACACUUUAAUCCAAGCCCAGCUGUAUCUGGUUGACAUCUGAAGUAUUAGCAAAACUGUCAAAGGACCUCCUGGUUCAGAGAAUAAAAUAAAAAAAAGAGGAAGAGAAAACGGCAAGAUAAAGGAGCUCUGUUGAAAUAUUUUGGAGGUGGGGCACAACCAAUGCCGCCAGCCCCAAAUGCUAGUGCUACAGCUGAUGAUACAGCAGGUCCAUCCUCUGCAGGUGAGGAGCACUUACCAGCACCUGCAUCCACUGAUCCUGCUGUUCCUUCCAUGUCGGUUUCAACCUCAACAGAUG